AGUGAACGCUGGCGGUAGGCUUAACACAUGCAAGUCGAACGGCAGCACAGUAAGUGCUUGCUCUUACGGGUUGCGAGUGGCGUACGUGUGACGUAUACAUCGGAAUCUACUCUUUCGUGUGGGAUAACGUAGGUAAACUUACGCUCAUACCGCAUCCCACCUACCGUUGUAAGCAGUGGAUCUUCUGACCUUGUGCGAUUGAAUGCGCCGAUGUCGGAUUAGUUAGUUGGGGGGGUAAUUGCCCACCCAGGGGACGAUCCGUAGAUGGUCUGAGAGAAUGAUCGGCCACAUGAGAACUGAGACACGGACAAGACUACUACGGGAGGCAGCAGUGGGGAAUAUUGGACAAAAGGCGCGAGCAUGAUCCAGCGAGAGCGCGUGGGUGAAGGAGGCCUUCGGGUUGUAAAGCCCUUUUGUUGGGAAAGAAAAGCAGCAGGUUAAUACCCCGCUGUUCUGACGGUACCCAAAGAAUAAGCACCGGCUAACUUCGUG
rnacentral:rRNA from 1 species